rnacentral:rRNA from 1 species
UGGGGAAUCUUGGACAAUGGGGGCAACCCUGAUCCAGCCAUGCCGCGUGAGUGAUGAAGGCCUUAGGGUCGUAAAGCUCUUCGCCUGUGAAGAUAAUGACGGUAGCAGGUAAAGAAACCCCGGCUAACUCCGUGCCAGCAGCCGCGGUAAUACGGAGGGGGUUAGCGUUGUUCGGAAUUACUGGGCGUAAAGCGCACGUAGGCGGACCAGAAAGUUGGGGGUGAAAUCCCGGGGGCUCAACCCCGGAACUGCCUCCAAAACUAUUGGUCUAGAGUUCGAGAGAGGUGAGUGGAAUUCCAAGUGUAGAGGUGAAAUUCGUAGAUAUUUGGAGGAACACCAGUGGCGAAGGCGGCUCACUGGCUCGAUACUGACGCUGAGGUGCGAAAGUGUGGGGAGCAAACAGGAUUAGAUACCCUGGGUAGUCCCACACCGUAAAACGAUGAAUGCCAGUCGU